ACAACACAGAGCAAAGUGCUUAAAGGUCAAAGUACAGUUAUAAUCACAAUUAUUUACUUUAUUUCCUUUGACAUUUGAGGUUUUUUUCAUGUUGGAUUUAAUUAAUGCUGAUGUCCUAACAUCCUCCAGAAGCCUGUACUAUGAAGCAGCAUUCGGGUUUAUUCAGGUAACUUCAGGUUUAAGUGUUUUCUUCACUUUGCAUUGCCAUGGUAACUUAUGCUGUGAACCAAAUUAAGAUCCAGAUUAGAGAUCAUCAGGUAUGAAACAUUUAGGGAUCAAUCAAUUCUCCAGUAGAUAGAGUCACAAUUCCUGGAAGAUCCUUUAGACCCCUGUGCAGGAUGAGUAGGAGGGUCUACUUUGUUUUGUUUUUAAUGUCACACAGUGGAAAUUUGUGGGGUUUUCUUUUUGUUUUAUCAUACUGUGUAUUGGUACAUAGUGUUGAUUUUAUUUGCAUGAUUUUAUUGUGAUAUUUAUAUUGUGACUUUUAGUAUUGUUGCACAAUAUUCUUUUAAUCCACUGUGGACUAAGCGGACAAUUGUAGGAAUCUGUGGAGGCGGGGGCGUUCCCCGAGGCGGCCUAUCAGCCGCCAAAGUGACCUGUUAAGAGGAAUAGUGGGUGCAGAGACGGGAAGGACUACGCACGAAAGGUGAGCAGGAGGAAACGAAACGCGUGCAAGCCAGCAUAUGUGUCGAAGGACCUGCUGCCCGACUGUGGGCUGCCACGAGUCGUUCACCGACGGACCGGCCAGCGGAACACGGCGAUCCAGUCCCGACGGCAGGAACAGCGACAGUGGGAGGCGAUGUCCGCAAUCCACAGCAGGACAGGGGUGUCGCUCUGCCUGCAUCUGGCGGUGCUACGAGGGAGGCCGUGUUCAGAUGAACAGUCAUCAUUUUAUCAUCACCUGACUGAUUAUCCUGAUUGCCAAUGUCAGUGCAAAAGAAUUCAGACACACUCUGGAUGUCGACAUGGCUUCCUAGUACACAGCUCAGGUCACCAGUGACCCACUGAGAGAGAAACUCACUUUAGUUCAAUCUCACCUGAAGAGACAAACAUGAAGACGCUGAGAAACAGCAAAGUGGAGCAGAGUGACGCAGUUCCAGCAAACAUUUCUGUGUUUCUGUAUUAAAAUCAGAAUCUGAG